GCGGUUUACUAACUUGCCCAGAGUUCCACAGCGAGGAGGUAGCAGAACCUGAGCUGGACUCCAGCACUGGCUCAGCUCACACCUGGACUCUGAUGAGAAGACCAAGACUUUAUGCUUUAAAAUAGGGGAUAAACUCCAGGAGCGCAUGAUUUUUGUCUGUUCUGUGCUCUGCUAUAUCCUCAAUGCCUGUAGAAGCUCUGUCCAAUGGAAAUAGAGUGCGAUCCAUGAACGCAACUACUGUGUAAAUCAAGGGAAGACCAAGUUUUGCUUUGCUCAAGAGCUUUAGCAAGGACUUAUCACCAUUUUGGAAAAUCACACCUGUAAUGGCAACAUGACUCAUGAUAGAGAAAGAAGAAAUUCACCCAGAUACCUGCUGGCAAAUCUAAUUGUUUGAGGAUUUUGCUUGACCAUGGGAUGAGUCCCCAUACGACACACCUGGAUCCGUCUGCAUGUGUUGAUGUCGCGGUCGCCGUGUUUCAUGGUAUACAAAAGUCUACUUUUUUUUUUUUUUUUUUUUGCGGUACGCGGGCCUCUCACUGCUGUGGCCUCUCCCGUUGCGGAGCACAGGCUCUGGACGCGCAGGCUCA